GCCAAAGUAGCUCAGUGGGGAGAGCGUUAGACUGAAGAUCUAAAGGUCCUUGGUUCAAUCCCAGGCUUUGGCA
rnacentral:tRNA from 1 species